rnacentral:lncRNA from 1 species
CAAAAUUUUAUGAAAAGUUAACGAGCAGAAUUAAUUUCAGUAAAGGUGUUUGGUACCACCGUAAUCAGUGAAUCGAUAUCUUGAAUUCAUUGUUUGUUUGUUUGUUUGUUGUUGUUGUUGAUUUCAAUUUCUGAUACCAAAUGUCAAUAAUUGUUUUACUAUAUGACUUUUUGUAUAGUCUUGUGAUUUUCUUGUACUUGAGUAAGAUAUUUUCAAAACCGAUCGUUCUUUUGUCUCGCUUGGCGAAGUCAAAAAGUGAGACAUAUGUAUGCUAAUUGCGGCGUCGGCGGUGGCGUCAACAAUGUAACAGUUUGUGAUAAGUCUAGUUUAUAGUGAACCGCUAUUUUAGGUCAAAAAUAUUCGGUAUGCAGUUGUAUUAUUAUUGGCAAAUCUCAUUACCAUAGAGAUUAUUUGGCCCCG